rnacentral:rRNA from 1 species
UCCAGGCCCUACGGGGCGCAGCAGUCGCGAAACCUUUGCAAUACACGAAAGUGUGACAGGGCUAUCCCGAGUGCCAUCCGCUGAGGAAGGCUUUUACCCAGUCUAGAACGCUGGGGGAAUAAGGAGAGGGCAAGUCUGGUGUCAGCCGCCGCGGUAAUACCAGCUCUCCGAGUGGUGUGGAUGUUUAUUGGGCCUAAAGCAUCCGUAGCUGGCUAGGUAAGUCCUUUGUUAAAUCCACCGAAUUAAUCGUUGGAUCGCGGGGGAUACUGCUUGGCUAGGGGACGAGAGAGGCAGACGGUAUUUUCGGGGUAGGGGUGAAAUCCUAUAAUCCCGGGAAGACCACCAGUGGCGAAGGCUGUCUGCUAGAACGCGCCCGACGGUGAGGGAUGAAAGCUGGGGGAGCGAACCGGAUUAGAUACCCGGGUAGUCCCAGCUGUAAACGAUGCAGACUAGGUGUUUGGACGGCCACGUGCCGUUCUAGUGCCGCAGGGAAGCUGUUAAGUCUGCCGCCUGGGGAGUACGAUCGCAAGAUUGAAACUUAAAGGAAUUGGCGGGGGAGCACCACAAGGGGUGAAGCUUGCGGUUUAAUUGGAGUCAACGCCGGG